GAUCAUGGCUCAGGAUUAACGCUGGCGGCGUGCAUAACACAUUCAAGUCGAACGGAUGUAGCAAUACAUUAGUGGCGGACGGGUGAGUAACGCGUGAGUAAUCUGCCUCAGGGUGCGGAAUAACAACCGGAAACAGUUGCUAAUACCGCAUGAUAUAUAGAUACUGCAUGGUAUUUAUAUCAAAGGCUUGCUGCCCUGAGAUGGGCUUACGGCGCAUUAGCUAGUUGGUGAGGUAACGGCUCACCAAGGCGAUGAUGCGUAGCCGGACUGAGAGGUUGAACGGCCACAUUGGGACUGAGACACGGUCCAAACUCCUACGGGAGGCAGCAGUAGGGAAUUUUCGGCAAUGGGGGAAACCCUGACCGAGCAACGCCGCGUGAGUGAAGACGGCCUUCGGGUUGUAAAGCUCUGUUGUAAAGGAAGAAUGGCAUGGAUAGAAUCCAUGAGUGACGGUACUUUACCAGAAAGCCACGGCUAACUACGUG
rnacentral:rRNA from 1 species